rnacentral:rRNA from 1 species
UACGUAGGGGGCAAGCGUUGUCCGGAUUUAUUGGGCGUAAAGAGCGUGUAGGCGGUUUGGUAGGUCCGCUGUGAAAACUCGAGGCUCAACCUCGAGACGCCGGUGGAAACCAUCAGGCUAGAGUCCGGAAGAGGAGAGUGGAAUUCCUGGUGUAGCGGUGAAAUGCGCAGAUAUCAGGAAGAACACCGGUGGCGAAGGCGGUCUGCUGGGCAGUUGCUGACACUGAGGCGCGACAGCGUGGGGAGCAAACAGG